GGGACACGUGGUAUCCUGUCUGAAUAUGGGGGGACCAUCCUCCAAGGCUAAAUACUCCUGACUGACCGAUAGUGAACCAGUACCGUGAGGGAAAGGCGAAAAGAACCCCGGCGAGGGGAGUGAAAAAGAACCUGAAACCGUGUACGUACAAGCAGUGGGAGCACGCUUAGGCGUGUGACUGCGUACCUUUUGUAUAAUGGGUCAGCGACUUAUAUUCUGUAGCAAGGUUAACCGAAUAGGGGAGCCGAAGGGAAACCGAGUCUUAACUGGGCGUUAAGUUGCAGGGUAUAGACCCGAAACCCGGUGAUCUAGCCAUGGGCAGGUUGAAGGUUGGGUAACACUAACUGGAGGACCGAACCGACUAAUGUUGAAAAAUUAGCGGAUGACUUGUGGCUGGGGGUGAAAGGCCAAUCAAACCGGGAGAUAGCUGGUUCUCCCCGAAAGCUAUUUAGGUAGCGCCUCGUGAAUUCAUCUCCGGGGGUAGAGCACUGUUUCGGCAAGGGGGUCAUCCCGACUUACCAACCCGAUGCAAACUGCGAAUACCGGAGAAUGUUAUCACGGGAGACACACGGCGGGUGCUAACGUCCGUCGUGAAGAGGGAAACAACCCAGACCGCCAGCUAAGGUCCCAAAGUCAUGGUUAAGUGGGAAACGAUGUGGGAAGGCCCAGACAGCCAGGAUGUUGGCUUAGAAGCAGCCAUCAUUUAAAGAAAGCGUAAUAGCUCACUGGUCGAGUCGGCCUGCGCGGAAGAUGUAACGGGGCUAAACCAUGCACCGAAGCUGCGGCAGCGACGCUGAUGCGUUGUUGGGUAGGGGAGCGUUCUGUAAGCCUGCGAAGGUGUGCUGUGAGGCAUGCUGGAGGUAUCAGAAGUGCGAAUGCUGACAUAAGUAACGAUAAAGCGGGUGAAAAGCCCGCUCGCCGGAAGACCAAGGGUUCCUGUCCAACGUUAAUCGGGGCAGGGUGAGUCGACCCCUAAG
rnacentral:rRNA from 1 species